UUAUAUCACCAAUUUCAUGUUGUUAUUUGGAUUAAGGGUAAAUAUGAAAAAUAUAUUAUUUCAGUGCUUAUGUGUGACGUUACGUCCUGUAAAUCUUAUUCUGCUUGUAAAGAAUAUGAGAUUUGAUUGUCACUCUGUCAGUUGUAAAUACUGCAUAUUGAAAAAGUUUGAAGUUGUUCAGUCAUUGCUAUGCAAAGAAGUUAUACAUGUUUAGAUAAUGUAAUGUGAUGAUAAACUGUUGUAAUAUGAAUAAGUUUUAUUAUUGAUUCAUAGUAAAUACAGUGACGGCAAGCCAGCCAUCACAUCAGCAGUCUUUCCUAACUAUAUUAUACUUCUUUUCAGGAGUACUACAAUUUUGAAAGCAAGUGAUUGUUUGCCAUGUCGCAUCCUACACAUUUUCAGUUCAAGCCUGUUGCAGAUCAAUACUGCCUGGAUGGGUGGUUUGAAUGUCCCUGCUGCAGUUUUAUGACUAAAGAGAAAUUCUCAUUUUCUAUUCAUCUUGAGAACCAUAUAAGUCAUGCAGUGGAGCAUGGAGGUUACUUCAUCUCAAAAUGCAACAAACUGUGCAGGACCACAGCCCAUUUUCACUGUCUGUACUGCAGCCAGACAGUAAUACGCAAGGAACAAUACAUAAGCCAUGUCUCCAAAUGCUCUAAGACAGAAGUACUUGCAGCACCUACCCUAUCUCCAGCUCUCUCUGUAGCUGCAUGCCCGACACCCU